UGCCAAGAGGUGCUGUAAGAAAAGUUGUAA
rnacentral:piRNA from 1 species